rnacentral:sRNA from 1 species
UCAGGCUGUUGAGAGACUUAAUAUCAAGCCAUGCCAUUGGAAAGAUCUUCUGACAGAUGAGCCGUUUGUCAGGAAAGAUAUAAUCACAAUACAGGAUCCAACAAACAUAGAAAAAUUUAACCUUCAGUCCUUUUAUCAUAUUAAAAAGAAUCUCAAGAUCACAGACGAUGAUGAUGCUAACCCUCGAGACAAU